rnacentral:lncRNA from 10 species
GUGAUCUGCUGUGACCCGUGACCGCUGCAGCUGAGGCCCUUUUUUCUGCCAGCCGGGCCUGCGUGUCCAGAGCGUAUAAGAUCCAAUCCAGAAAGAGCCAGGACCCCACCGAGGGGACAUUGGUGGCUGAUGCUCAAGGAGGUGCCGCCUCCCUAGCCAGGGGCGUUGGAAAAGUGACCUUGCUGGAGGGAACGUUGUCUUCUAAGAAGCUGCCUGAAUAAGGAGGCCAAAGCACCAGCAGGAGCGACCGUCACUGGAGGUCAGGCAUAGUUCACAGGGCCUGGAACUGGGGAUUGGACCUGGAUCCUUGAGCUGAUUCUUGCGCCUCAACCUCUCUUCCCAGAUGCCCACCGCCCCCAACCGCGCACCCCUGCAGAUGGGACGCUGCCCUCGAGGCUCUCCCUCCGCUUGCUUCCCCCAAUGGUGGGGUCCACCCCAGACCCGGGAGCCCCUCCCUCAGUCCCUGCUCCUCGUGGCCCUUCUUGUAAUCCUUUCCCCAGACUCCUCCCACCUCCCCGCCUCUGGCACAAAUCCCGCAAGUAUAUGUUCCUCUCUCCUCAUCUCUCUCACUAAGAAAGUCAAUCCCACAAGACAUCCCCCAAAGGAAAGAAUGAAAUAAAACAGUCCCCCAUGUCUAGCCCGAGCAUUCUUUUUAAUUUGUUGUCAAGUUGGGCUUGCCAAGUCAGUCUCUUUCGAUGAAGCAGAGGACUCGGGUGCAGCCGCGGCCCACGCAGGCUCUGAGGUGCGAGCCGCCAGCAGGUGCCGUCAGGGUGGGCACGCACCGUGGACACACAGACAGGGGCCCGGCCCACGCAUGAGACCAAGAGUGCAGAGCCCAG